rnacentral:SRP_RNA from 1 species
GCUGGGUGUGGUGGCAGACACCUGUAAUCCCAGCUGCUCGGGAGGCUGAGGCAGGAGAAUCACUUGAAUCUGGGAGGCAGAGGUUGCAAUGAGCUGAGAUUGCGCCACUGCACUCCAGCCUUGGCGAUGAGCGAAAGUCCAUCUCAAAAAAAAAAAGGAGGCCUUGCUUAGCAGUGUGAAUAAAAAUUUUUUUUUUUUUGAGACGGAGUUUCGCUCUUGUCGCCCAGGCUGGCAUGCAGUGGCACCAUCUCGGCUCACUGCAACCUCCGCCUCCCAGGUUCAAGCGAUUCUCCUGCCUCAG